rnacentral:rRNA from 1 species
GACGUAGGGCGCGAGCGUUGUCCGGAUUUAUUGGGCGUAAAGAGCUCGUAGGCGGCUUGUCGCGUCGUUCGUGAAAACUUGCAGCUCAACUGCAGGCUUGCGGUCGAUACGGGCAGGCUAGAGUUCGGUAGGGGAGACUGGAAUUCCUGGUGUAGCGGUGAAAUGCGCAGAUAUCAGGAGGAACACCGGUGGCGAAGGCGGGUCUCUGGGCCGAUACUGACGCUGAGGAGCGAAAGCGUGGGGAGCGAACAGG